rnacentral:tRNA from 1 species
GGUGGGGUUCCCGAGCGGCCAAAGGGCGCAGACUGUAAAUCUGCCGGCAUCGACUUCGAAGGGUCUAAGCCUUCCCCCACCACCA